rnacentral:siRNA from 1 species
UGGCACUGCACUCAUGGCUCAG